rnacentral:SRP_RNA from 1 species
CCGUGCUAGGUGGGGAGGUAGCGGUGCCCUGAACCUGCAAUCCGCUAUAGCAGGGCCGAAUUCCUGCCGGAGGGUUUGGCUUGUGGGGUCCGGCUCCUGUAAGGGGUGUUGACGGCCGGGUCUCGCGCGACGGAGUCUUCUGAACUGUGUCAGAUCCUGACGGAAGCAGCACUAAGGAAGUCCCUCCGGGUGCCGCGAGGGUGCCUGACCCGAGCUACCUGCUGGAGUAACGCCCGGAAGCCAUCAUUCGAAGGUGGGUGCACGG